rnacentral:rRNA from 1 species
CUCAUCGUUUAUACCAUUAGGUAACUUUACUUUAUCACGUUUUUAAUUAGAGCUAAAUAACCCAGUAAAGUAAAGCAAAUUUAAACUAAGAGGCCGUUACUUUAAGUAAAUUCCAUAAGCUUUAGGCGAGGGUAUAAACCCUUUAUCGUUACUCAUGUCAGCAUUAUCACUUGGGUAAUCUAAUCUUAAGUCUUAAAAAGAAAAAAUCUGAGAUAUGCCCAAUGUUCCGCUACCCCAUAUAUAUUCUAUGUAACUUGUACAUAUAAAUAUUUAUGGACAAGGUCUCGGUAUAUUAUUUAGAUCCGCUAAAUCUUAGGUGCAUCUAACAAUACAUACAAAAUUGUAUAAAACCAGUGCUCUGUUACGAGGUCUUUAAAAAAUGGCCGCUCCUAAGCCCAUUUCCUGGUUGGCUUGGAUAAACACUACCUUAUUUUCACUUAACAAUAAUUUUGGAACCUUAUUAACUCUUGUUCUGGGCUGUUUCCCUUUAGACAUACAACCUUAUCGUACUAUGUCUGACAAUUCAAUAUUAAUCUAAGCCCUUCCGAGAGCAAAUACUCACUGAUAGAACCAUCACGAUCCCCCAAUGUCUACAAAAAGCAUUUAAACUAAAAUGCAAGUUGCAUGAGAUCACAAUUAUGAC